CCCUGGCCAGCCUCAGACCUCACCACACAUCACUGAAGGAUACAGGACAUGAGAUAAUGAUAUGAUUGGUUUGUAUAGUCGCAUUACCCCACUGUUUCCCAAACUCAGUCCUCAGGACCCCAAGGGGUGCACGUUUUGGUUUUAGCCAAGACUAGUUGAUCAGUUAAAUCAGCUGUGUAGUGCUAGUGCAGAAACCAAAAGGUGCACCCAGGCAGACCCCUUGGGGAAAACCCUGCAUUACCCUUUCUCUUCUGCUCCAAAAACAUGGAUUGACAGAGUGGUUUCUGAGGCAAAAAUAAAACACAACAGUUGGUCUGAAAAUGGAACCUUGUGUAACCCCACCUAGAAAAUCACAUUGAAGACGUGCACGCUUUCCUUUUUCUCUUUCUUGGAACUGGUCUGAUGACACCAAGGAUAUACUGUAGAAAAACAGUCACAUUCUGUUGUGCCAAUGGAACUGAACCGGUAACAAUAGAUCAACAAGAUACAAGAUGCUUAUCAAAAGAACUCACUCUGUUAAGUUUUCCGAUGUGUUUGAUCAUGAGAACAUUACUGACAUGGCUUUACUCUCUGUCUCUCUGCUAGAACAAUGUUGUGAGUUCUGUGGUCCGUGUCCAUCCACAGCGCACACACGCGCCUGGUCGCUCCAACAGAACAGCUCCAGGAGUCUCUCGUGCUUCUUACACAUCCUCUCCUCCACAUGGUCGAUCAGCUUGUGGACCUUCAGCAUAGCAAACUCUCUGAUGAGGCUGCAGGUGAAUCUCACAGGAAAAGGCCAGGCAAAAACUGUGGCCAGAUGGGAUGGAGACUGGCUCAGUGAAGACAUCCAGACAGACAGAGCACUGGAACUGCUCUUCAGAUAAUAGACCACUGGGAGAAGCCAUGUCUUCAGGUUGAAAAAUUGAAUACAGCCAUAGUGUCUUAUCAGCUGCCUGUGAAAGCAUCGGUCAAAGACCAAAGAGUCCUCAUGAAUCAUACUCAGAACUUUGGGAAACCAGCGUCCAGUGUCAUCAUGAAUCAUACUCAGAACUUUGGGAAACCAGCGUCCAGUGUCAAUAUGAAUCAUACUCUGAACUUUGGGAAACCAGCGUCCAGUGACAUCAUGAAUCAUACUCUGAACUAUGGGAAACCAGAGUCCAGUGACAGACAACCCAAUGUUUUAGAUUAAAGCUGAUAACACAUAACUGAAUAGCAGAAAUUCUAUCUCCUGCUAUGUCAUGUUACUUAACAUGGCUGAAAGGAUGUUGACCUCUCAGGUGGCAGAGUAGAGUUAAUCAGGUUCCACUGUGUGUCAAUCAAAUGCUGAGGUAAAGUUUAGCCCCUCCCCUUUCUACAGUGCUGUAUGUAUGAUAUUGUGUCUGCCUCCCCAUCUUUUAACCCUCUCCACGCCAGAAAGGUCUGACACACAGAUAUUCAGAAAAAUAAAACCUUUUAUUUUCAAAAGAUGCAACAGUUUUCCAUGAUUUGUCAAAAUCUAAUUUCUAUCUAUAAUAAACACACAAUUCUAGGUAAAAUGUAGUCAUCAACCUAUAUGGUUUCAUUUCAAAGUUAUUACAGAACAUUCAUUAUGGUUAAUGCAUUUUCCACCAACUAAAGACUGUAAUCUGGAAGAUAAUCUAUUGUCAAGUAUUUGUGUAAGAUAUCUUUGUGAUCAGGUUUGCAUUCUGUUCUCUCUGUGUUUUCUCUCAGGUGUCCUCCUCCUCUUCCCCCUGUCAACUAGCUCUGAAAGAUUCUCAAUCACAGUGUAAAGUCCCCUGGCAGCCCUCGUCUGAUCGGUUCUUCACGGAGCUGGAAUUAACACAGGGGUUACAUCAUUUAGUACAUUUGUUAUUGCUACUUUCUCUCUCCUCUUCACGCUCCUUCCCCCUCAUUCACUUUACUUUCCAUCUUUAUUCAAUAUCCUUAUUUGUUUAACAAUCUUACACUUAAAUCCCGUUGAGUGAGGUUUUUCCUCAUCCUAUAAUCAUUUGGGGAGAUUAAUUAUUCAUAAUUUAUUAUACAAUUAUAUGUUUUACUGUGACUCUCACCUGCUUGAAGAUCUCCGAUUUGGUUAGCUUUGUCGUCGAGGUGAAUUUCAUCCUGAGUACAAACUUAUGUCCUGUAGAGACCCAAUGAGUCAAUAAUAUAGGCGGGCGGGCAGGCGGGCAGGCGUGGGUUGACCUCUAUUACCAGUUUGAUUAGAUAUUAAGCACAAUAAAUCACACUUACCAGGUCCACUAUUAGUUGUUUGUUUGAGGUGUAGUGCUCAUCUGUUGAGUUAUUAGUUGUGUAGGUGAUGUCAAGUUAGAGGCUUUGGUUGUCGUAGUAGAAGCUGUAGUUGUGGUUGUCGCAUUAGAAGCUGUGGUUGUCGUAGUAGAAGUUGUAGUUGGGGUUGUCGCAUUAGAAGCUGUGGUUGUUGGAGUAGAAGUUGUGGUUGUCGCA
rnacentral:lncRNA from 13 species